CAGGUAGCUCCGCCCUCAGAUCACAGGUAGGUGAGGUAGCUCCGCCCUCAGAUCACAGGUAGGUCAGGUAGCUCCGCCCUCAGAUCACAGGUAGGUGAGGUAGCUCCGCCCUCAGAUCACAGGUAGGUGAGGUAGCUCCGCCCUCAGAUCACACGUAGGUCAGGUAGCUCCGCCCUCAGAUCACAGGUAGUUCCGCUAGCUCCGCCCUCAGAUCACAGGUAGCUCCGCCCUCAGAUCACAGGUAGCUCCGCCCUCAGAUCACAGGUAGCUCCGCCCUCAGAUCACAGGUAGCUCCGCCCUCAGAUCACAGGUAGCUCCGCCCUCAGAUCACAGGUAGGUGAGGUAGCU